rnacentral:rRNA from 1 species
ACACGUAGGAGGCAAGCGUUAUUCGGAUUUAUUGGGCGUAAAGCGCGUGCAGGCGGUUUGGAAAGUUGGAUGUGAAAGCUCCCGGCUUAACUGGGAGAGGUCGUUCAAUACUUCCAGACUCGAGUAUGGGAGAGGGAGGUGGAAUUCCGGGUGUAGUGGUGAAAUGCGUAGAUAUCCGGAGGAACACCAGUGGCGAAAGCGGCCUCCUGGUCCAUUACUGACGCUCAGACGCGAAAGCUAGGGUAGCAAACGGGAUUAGAGACCCCGGUAGUCCUAGCCGUAAACGAUGUGAACUUGGCGUUGGUGGGUUUAAAUCCAUCAGUGCCGUAGCUAACGCGUUAAGUUCACCGCCUGGGGACUACGGCCGCAAGGUUAAA